AACCUAGAUGUACCAUUACAUACUCAUCCGCCCGGGUACUACGAGCACAGCUUAAAACCCAAAGGACUUGGCGGUGUCUCAGACCCACCUAGAGGAGCCUGUUCUAGAACCGAUAACCCUCGUUAAACCUCACCACUUCUUGUUUUCCCCGCCUAUAUACCGCCGUCGUCAGCUUACCCUGUGAAGGUCUAAUAGUAAGCAAAAUGGGCCCGCCCAAAAACGUCAGGUCGAGGUGUAGCGUACGAAGUGGAAAGAAAUGGGCUACAUUUUCUAUAAAACAGAAUACUACGAAUGGCAUACUGAAAUAUAAUGCUUGAAGGUGGAUUUAGUAGUAAAAAGCAAACAGAGCGUACUUUUGAACCAGGCUCUGAGACGCGCACACACCGCCCGUCACUCUCCCCUGACACAAACAAACUAAACUAAAUUAUUAAUAAUUCACUCAUUAGCGCGGGGAGGCAAGUCGUAACAUGGUAAGUGUACCGGAAGGUGCACUUGGAAUAAU
rnacentral:rRNA from 1 species